UUGUAAAGAUAUGUUUGGCUGUAGGGCUUAUUCCUUAGGUUUUUUUUAUGUAAGGGCAUAUUGAAGAA
rnacentral:ncRNA from 1 species